rnacentral:rRNA from 1 species
AACGAACGCUGGCGGCGUGCCUAACACAUGCAAGUCGAGCGCGAAAAGGGCAACCUGAGUAGAGCGGCGCACGGGUGCGUAACACGUGGGUAAUCUGCCUUAGAGUCGAGGAUAACCUUCCGAAUGGUUGGCUAAUACUCGGUAAGCUUACGGUGUCUUCGGACGCUGUGGGAAAAGUAGGCCUCUGUUUACAAGCUUACGCUCUGAGAUGAGCCCGCGGCCCAUCAGCUAGUUGGCGGUGUAACGGACAACCAAGGCAACGACGGGUAGCUGGUCUGAGAGGACGAUCAGACACACUGGAACGGAGACACGGUCCAGACUCCUACGGGAGGCAGCAGUGGGGAAUUUUCCACAAUGGGCGAAAGCCUGAUGGAGAAACGCCGCGUGUGUGAUGAAGGUUUUCGGAUCGUAAAGCACUUUCGACCGGGACGAAAAACCUCUGGCUAACAUCCAGGGGCCUGACGGUACCGGGAGAAGAAGCACCGGCUAACUCUGUGCCAGCAGCCGCCGUAA